GCCCUUUCUCCUUCCUUGACACCUGGUUGUCCUUGCCUGCCAAAGUUCCAGCACUGAGCAGGGGGAGUCAGCUUCUUUGGGGGACUUAAGAUACAGGAACAAGGAAGAGAGAACAUGCUAGGCAGCCAUAGGCAGAAUAGUGGGGACCGAGAAUGAGUGACUCAUCGCCUCCUGAACAGUUGGUUUGCUUACUGCCUUAUUAAAUGCACCUGCAGAAAGGAAGAACUGAAAACUUCAAGAUUCUUUGCCCCCAAAAUAAGUCUAUCAAAGCAAUUUUGAUUGACUAUAUUUUUUUCUUCUAUAUUCAA